rnacentral:rRNA from 1 species
UAGGGUGGUUUUAGCAGAGGGGCUCACCUGUUCCCAUUCCGAACACAGAAGUUAAGCCCUCUAGCGCCGAUGGUACUGCGAGAGCGGGAGAGUAGGUCGCCGCCAGUU